CUCGACCCCAUGAAGUCGGAAUCGCUAGUAAUCGCGAAUCAGAAUGUCGCGGUGAAUACGUUCCCGGGCCUUGUACACACCGCCCGUCACACCAUGGAAGUGGAUUGCACCAGAAGUAAUUAGUUUAACCUUCGGGAGGACGGUUACCACGGUGUGGUUCAUGACUGGGGUGAAGUCGUAACAAGGUAGCCGUAGGGGAACCUGCGGCUGGAUCACCUCCUUA
rnacentral:rRNA from 1 species